UGAAUCCACACGCCUCUUUUGGAGACGUGAGAAAAUGUCUGAGUGAGCUGAACAGGAAAGUGGAGGACCUCCUUGUGACGGAAACAAACAAAAUAUCUGGAGAAGUGACUAAAGUCACCAUUGUUCUGUCCUCUGAUUCUGAUUCCGGCUCCACAGAGAAGACGCCAGAGCCACAAGAUACAGGAGCGUUUCAGGAGAGACAGAGAAAACCGUCUUGGAGGCAACGUGGACGAGAUGAAUCGGAAAAAGACGAGACUGAGUGGAGAAAAGGUUUCCGAGACGAUUCGCCGCGGUGGGGGGAGGCGAAACGGAGACAGAGGGAGCCUGAGUCGCCACGACGACAGCAGGCACCACAACAGAGAAACUCAGGGCAGGAGCUGGAGUGGAGGAGGGACAAGCAGUGACAAUCAUAAAGGCCGACCCCACUUCCAUUCAUCGACACGUUACAGUGAAACAAUGUGUUUACAAAGCCACAAGGGGAAGCUGGGAAAUGU